rnacentral:rRNA from 1 species
AGUGAACGCUGGCGGUAGGCCUAACACAUGCAAGUCGAACGGCAGCACAGUAAGAGCUUGCUCUUACGGGUGGCGAGUGGCGGACGGGUGAGGAAUACAUCGGCAUCUACUUUUUCGUGGGGGAUAACGUAGGGAAACUUACGCUAAUACCGCAUACGACCUACGGGUGAAAGCAGGGGAUCUUCGGACCUUGCGCGAUUGAAUGAGCCGAUGUCGGAUUAGCUAGUUGGCGGGGUAAAGGCCCACCAAGGCGACGAUCCGUAGCUGGUCUGAGCGGAUGAUCAGCCACACUGGAACUGAGACACGGUCCAGACUCCUACGGGAGGCAGCAGUGGGGAAUAUUGGACAAUGGGCGCAAGCCUGAUCCAGCCAUGCCGCGUGGGUGAAGAAGGCCCUCGGGUUGUAAAGCCCUUUUGUUGGGAAAGAAAAGCAGCAGGUUAAUACCCCGCUGUUCUGACGGUACCCAAAGAAUAAGCACCGGCUAACUUCGUG